rnacentral:rRNA from 1 species
UACGGGGGGGGCAAGCGUUGUUCGGAAUUACUGGGCGUAAAGGGCUCGUAGGCGGCCAACUAAGUCGGAUGUGAAAUCCCCAGGCUCAACUUGGGAACUGCAUCCGAUACUGGAUGGCUUGAAUCCGGGAGAGGGAUGCAGAAUUCCAGGUGUAGCGGUGAAAUGCGUAGAUAUCUGGAGGAAUACCGGUAGCGAAGGCGGCAUCCUGGACCGGCAUUGACGCUGAUGAGCGAAAGCUAGGGGAGCAAACGGG